rnacentral:tRNA from 1 species
GGAGAUGUGGCUCAGUGGCAGAGCGCUUGCCUAGCAUGCAUGAGGCACUGGGUUCUAUCCUCAGCACCA